rnacentral:rRNA from 1 species
GAGUUUGAUCAUGGCUCAGAGCGAACGCUGGCGGCAGGCUUAACACAUGCAAGUCGAACGGUCCUUCGGGAUAGUGGCGGACGGGUGGAGUAACACGUGGGAACGUACCCUUAGGUUCGGAACAACACAGGGAAACUUGUGCUAAUACCGGAUAAGCCCUUCGGGGUAAGGAUUAUUCGCCUUGGAGCGGCCCGCGUCUGAUUAGCUUGUUGGUGAGGUAAUGGCUCACCAAGGCUACGAUCAGUAGCUGGUCUGAGAGGAUGGCC